rnacentral:rRNA from 1 species
AAUCAACGCUGGCGGCGUGCCUCAGACAUGCAAGUCGAACGAUUAAAGCUCUCUUCGGAGAGUGCAUAAAGUGGCGCACGGGUGAGUAACACGUAAGUAAUCUACCUUCGAGUGGGGAAUAACGUCCGGAAACGGACGCUAAUACCGCAUAACGCAGCGGCAUCGCAAGAUGACAGUUAGUUAAAGUAUUUAUCGCUUGAAGAGGAGCUUGCGGCAGUAUAGCUUGUUGGUAAGGUAACGGCUUACCAAGGCUACGAUCUGUAUCCGGUCUAAGAGGACGGUCGGACACACUGACACUGAAUAACGGGUCAGACUCCUACGGGAGGCAGCAGGUCGGGAA